rnacentral:rRNA from 1 species
AUUGAACGCUGGCGGCAGGCCUAACACAUGCAAGUCGAGCGGAUGAGAGGAGCUUGCUUCUCGAUUCAGCGGCGGACGGGUGAGUAAUGCCUAGGAAUCUGCCUGGUAGUGGGGGACAACGUUUCAAAAGGAACGCUAAUACCGCAUACGUCCUACGGGAGAAAGCAGGGGACCUUCGGGCCUUGCGCUAUCAGAUGAGCCUAGGUCGGAUUAGCUAGUUGGUGAAGUAAUGGCUCACCAAGGCGACGAUCCGUAACUGGUCUGAGAGGAUGAUCAGUCACACUGGAACUGAGACACGGUCCAGACUCCUACGGGAGGCAGCAGUGGGGAAUAUUGGACAAUGGGCGAAAGCCUGAUCCAGCCAUGCCGCGUGUGUGAAGAAGGUCUUCGGAUUGUAAAGCACUUUAAGUUGGGAGGAAGGGUUGUAGAUUAAUACUCUGCAAUUUUGACGUUACCGACAGAAUAAGCACCGGCUAACUCUGUGCCAGCCGCCGCCGUAAUAC